rnacentral:rRNA from 1 species
CCAAUAGCGUAUAUUAAAGUUGUUGCAGUUAAAAAGCUCGUAGUUGAAUUUCGGGGUUCUUCCAUUGGUCAGGCUAACAAGUCUGUACUAGCGUGUAGAAUCUCUACCUUCUGGGGAACCAUCAUAUUAUUAAUUUAGCGUGGUGGGAAACCAGGACCUUUACCUUGAAAAAAUUAGAGUGUUCAAAGCAGGCUUACGUCUGAAUACAUUAGCAUGGAAUAAUAAAAUAGGACGGUGGUCCUGUUUUGUUGGUUUCUGAAUCACCGUAAUGAUUAAUAGGGAUAGUUGGGGGCAUUAGUAUUCAAUUGUCAGAGGUGAAAUUCUUGGAUUUAUUGAAGACUAACUUCUGCGAAAGCAUUUGCCAAGGAUGUUUUCAUUAAUCAAGAACGAAAGUUAGGGGAUCGAAGACGAUCAGAUACCGUCGUAGUCUUAACCAUAAACUAUGCCGACUAGGGAUCGGACGAUGUUAAAUUUUAUUGACUCGUUCGGCGCCUUACG